rnacentral:rRNA from 1 species
GAUAAACGCUGGCGGCGCGCCUAACACAUGCAAGUCGAACGGAGUUUGAGAGAGCUUGCUUUUUCAAACUUAGUGGCGAACAGGUGAGUAACGCGUGAGUAACCUGCCCUGGAGUGGGGGACAACAGUUGGAAACGACUGCUAAUACCGCAUAAGCCCACGGCCCGGCAUCGGGUUGAGGGAAAAGGAUUUAUUCGCUUCAGGAUGGACUCGCGUCCAAUUAGCUAGUUGGUGAGGUAACGGCCCACCAAGGCGACGAUUGGUAGCCGGACUGAGAGGUUGAACGGCCACAUUGGGACUGAGACACGGCCCAG